rnacentral:rRNA from 1 species
UACAGAGGGCUCGAGCGUUGUUCGGAUUCAUUGGGCGUAAAGGGUGCGUAGGUGGCGCUGUAAGUCAGGUGUGAAAUUUCGGAGCUUAACUCCGAAACUGCAUUUGAUACUGCGGUGCUUGAGGACUGGAGAGGAGACUGGAAUUUACGGUGUAGCAGUGAAAUGCGUAGAGAUCGGAAGGAAGACCAGUGGCGAAGGCGGGUCUCUGGACAGUUCCUGACACUGAGGCACGAAGGCCAGGGGAGCAAACGGG